GACAUAGUAGGUUUCCUUCAGAGGCUUAUGGCAUGAGACCCCCAUGGGCGACACUAAAUUCGAAUGAAUGGAAACAGUGGUUGGCUACAGCUGUGGCAUUAUGACCAGAGCCUGGAUGAUUUCUAUGAUGAUGAUGAAGAAGAGGGGGAUGGGGAAGGGGGGAAAGGAGCCAGGGGUAGGAGUAAGAGUAAGAGCCAGAAUAACCUCUGUGGUCUCUGGAAAUCCCUUCUGUCAGUCCUCUAGAACUCGGUCUAGCCCUAGUCCUAGCCCCCCACCCAGACUUUGGUCCAGCCCCAGCCCCCCCCCCUCAUCAGCUGUCCUCCCAGCCCUCUUGGCCCAUCCCUACUCCAACUGGAGAUGCCCCAGAAGCUGCUGCUCACUGAGGAGGAAGCUGACCCGAUUGGCAGAAGAGCUUGUGGCUGAGGAGGAACGAGCAAAUCGAGGAGCAGAAAAGAAACGGCUAAAGAAGAAGAUUGAGAGGUUGAGAACCGCUGUUCUAUUGGAUGUUUCUAACCAGGUGAUAGAAGAGGCUGCAGUCGCAGCAGGCCCAGCAGCAGAGGAAGAAUUGGAUUUGUCAAGCACCUUCGUGUCUCAAGCCCCUCACAAGGUUGGUGACUGGCCUCCCAAUACCCAGAAAGAGAAAGUGUUGAUCCCUGAGCCUCCAGCCUUGAACUCGCAGAGCCAGAGCCCACAGGAAGGGAGCAGGAGCCAGAGUCCUCAGCUAGAGGCAUUACCUGGAUUACAGGCAGCUGCCUUAAGGCAGAGCCAAGAGCUAGCAGGUAAGAUCUUCCCCUCCCCUGACACUCUGUCAACAUAG
rnacentral:lncRNA from 1 species